UUUAAUAUGGCAGACUAUAAGUGCAAUAGAUUUAAAUUCUAUAUAUAAAGAAAAAGAUCUUUUAUUAAAA
rnacentral:tRNA from 1 species